UACGUAGGAUCCGAGCGUUAUCCGGAGUGACUGGGCGUAAAGAGUUGCGUAGGUGGUAAUUUAAGCGAGUAAUGAAAUCGUGUGGCUCAACCAUACUGCUAUUAUUUGAACUGAAUUACUUGAGAGCGAGAGAGGUAGAUGGAAUUCCCAGUGUAGGAGUGAAAUCCGCAGAUAUUGGGAGGAACACCAAUGGCGUAAGCAGUCUACUGGCUCGUUUCUGACACUGAGGCACGAAAGCGUGGGGAGCGAACCGG
rnacentral:rRNA from 1 species